GGAUGUACAGGAGAUCUGGCUGCGACAUUUGCCUCCCUGCUGAUUCCUAGGGUUGACUCAGCUGAUCUGGUCAGUCAGGUGCAUGUCUGUUUCCACCCUCACUACUCCAUGUGCACCCUCAAAGAGAAUGACAAUGCCCUGCAUAGCCCUCGCUGCCCCAGAGAAGGACCAUCUCCUGGGUCAAGAGUUUAUGAGAAUCUUUACUUCUUUGCCAGAACCUCCAAACAAGCUUUCAAGUCAGUGCCUUGGGUGUCCCAAGAAUUUACUGAAUUUCAGUUAAAUUUCAGU
ensembl:misc_RNA 7SK 7SK RNA